CUUUCAAAAUUCCCAAAUCUCAGCCGUCCGCCAUGAGCGACCGCCGCGACAGGGACAGAGAUAGAAACAGAGACCGUGAUCGUGACCGGAAAAGAAUCCGCGACGACCGUGACCUCGAUCGCGACAGAGAACGAGACCGAGACCGCGACCGUAGCAGACGCUCCCACUCUCGCACGCCCGACCGCACAAGAUCCCGGCACACACGCUCCCGAACUCGUUCGCCCGACGAGAGGGACCGCCACCGCCAGCGACACCGCCACCACCGCUCUCGCUCUCGCUCCCCUACCUCCCCUGCUCGUAAGCGCCUCAAGGACGACGUUGUUCUCAAGGACAAGGACGACGCCGUUUCGAAGGAUAAGAAGCAGAAGGAGAACACCUCUGCUGGAAUUGAUGAUGUCAACAAGGAUCUGGAAUUGAUGGAUGAGGAUGAGAUGGAGAUGAUGAAGAAAUUCGGCAUUCCAGCGGGGUUCGAUUCCACCAAGGGGAAGCCGGUGGCAGGAAACGAAGUCGGUGCGGUGAGGAAAGUCACGAAGCGGCAGCCACGCCAGUACAUGAACCGACGCGGCGGAUUCAAUCGCCCUCUCCCUCCCGAGCGUAAUCGUUGAAAACUGACCAUUGCCUGCAGGUUAGGGUUUCGGUUUAAUUGAUGCUGGUAUCGUGAUUGGGAUAGUUUUUCAGAUUGAAUUGUAAUAUACCUGAGCACAUUAAAUUGGUUUAUGUUUCGUGUUUUAAGAUGAACAAUUGAUGCAGGUAUUUUGUGCAAGUGCUUUCUCUAGUGAAUUCUGAAUAGAAGCGUGCGAUGAUCUUCAUUGAACUAGGAGAUAUUUCCGUUGAUUAAAUCGGACAACUGAAGAAGAUGUAAGACUUCCAUUAACAUGUUUAAUGGAAAAUGCUUCUGUGCAAUUUCCAGAAUUGUUUCUGAUUCUAAUGUGAUUCCAAUUUCUCUAUGCUGUAUACUACAAUGGCAUAUUUCUGUAACCUUUUGGAUGCUUACAAAUACUGUUGCUGGUGGCUAAGAGGGUUCAAUCAUGAUAUUGGUAACUGUUUGUUUUC